rnacentral:rRNA from 1 species
AGCCUUAGGAAUGGAUCUAAGGUUAAACCUGCCCAAUGUAUAUAGUAUGAAUGGCCGCGGUACUUUGACCGUGCUAAGGUAGCGUAAUCAGUUGGCUUUUAAUUGGGGUCAGGAAUGAAUGGAAUCUCGUGGUUUUUCUGUCUCCAAAAUAAUUAUUUGAAAUUACUAUGUAGGUGAAAAAGCCUUCAAUUAGAAAAAAGACGAGAAGACCCUUAGAGUUUUACUAAAAGUAAAUAACAAAUUUGUUAGUAAUUAUUUCAGUUUAGUUGGGGCAACGUAGGAAAAUAUAAUUAUAACUAGUAAUAACUUCCUAAAUGAAAAUUAGCCGAUUAUUAUAAGUUUGGAUAAACUACCUUAGGGAUAACAGCAUUAUUUUAAAAAUAAGUUUGUGACCUCGAUGUUGGACUGGGAACCUAGAAGGCUAGCCGUUUUCUAGUAAAGUUCUGUUCGAACUAGUAAAUUCCC